rnacentral:rRNA from 1 species
AACGAACGCUGGCGGCAUGCCUAACACAUGCAAGUCGAACGAGACCUUCGGGCUUAGUGGUGCACGGGUGCGUAACGCGUGGGAACCUGCCUUUAGGUUCGGAAUAACUUCCCGAAUGGGGUGCUAAUACCGGCUCUUGUCCCCGGUCCAAAGGUUUAUCGCCUUUGGAUGGGCUUGCGUUGGAUUAGUUAGUUGGUAGGGUAAAAGGCUAUCAAGGCAACGAUCCAUAGCUGGUUAGAGAGGAUGAUCAGCCACACUGGGCGUGAGACACGGUCCGGACUCCUACAGGAGGCAGCAAUGGGGAAUAUAGGACUAUGGGCGAUGGCCUGAUCGAGCUAUGCCGCGUGAGUAAUGAAGGCCGUGAGGUUGUAAAGCACUUUUACCCGGGAUUAUAAUGACGGUACCGAGAGAAUAAGCUCCGGCUAACUCCGUG